AUUGUAAUUGGGAGAUAUUUGGAUUUUGAUACAAGAACAUAUUAGAAGUUGGCAGUUUAGGGUUAGGUAGGGUUUCUAUGAUAUUUAGAGAUCUAGUAGUUGGAUGAAGGUGAAAUUUGGCAUGAUAUUGGAAGACUUAAAGAUCAAGCUAUAAGCUAAUUUUGAAUUGAAGUUAAUAAUUAAAGAAGGAGAAAUCAUUGUUGGAACUUCUGCAUCACCUUUCAAGUUGGUGGCCAAGUGACAUUAGUGUAGUUUUUAGAGGUUUUCUCACAAUUUGUAAGUUGGAUUGGGCUAAAAUUUCUUGAACAUAUAGAAGAAUUAUAUUGACAAUUACAUGCAAAUUUUCAUAUCAAGUGGAUAGUCAAAUUAGAAGUUACAGCUUAUCUAAACUCACUGAUAAAGAUUAGGACUUAUAAAAAAAAUCUAAAUUGUUUAAAUAUGAAAGUAAUAAGAUAAUUAGGAUUUAUGUAUGAUCAAGGCUAUUAAGAAGA
rnacentral:lncRNA from 1 species